ACUCCUACGGGAGGCAGCAGUAGGGAAUUUUGCGCAAUGGGCGAAAGCCUGACGCAGCAACGCCGCGUGUGUGACGAAGCCCUUCGGGGUGUAAAACACUGUCAGUGGGGACGAAUUUUGACGGUACCCACAGAGGAAGCACCGGCUAACUCCGUGCCAGCAGCCGCGGUAAUAC
rnacentral:rRNA from 1 species